rnacentral:rRNA from 1 species
AGCCUCGAUGAAAUGCUAAGUGUUAGAGGGUUUCCAGCCCUUUAGGUGCUGCAGCUAACGCAUUAAGCACUCCGCCUGGGGAGUACGGUCGCAAGACUGAAACUCAAAGGAAUUGACGGGGGCCCGCACAAGCGGUGGAGCAUGUGGUUUAAUUCGAAGCAACGCGAAGAACCUUACCAGGUCUUGACAUCCUCUGACAACUCUAGAGAUAGAGCGUUCCCCUUCGGGGGACAGAGUGACAGGUGGUGCAUGGUUGUCGUCAGCUCGUGUCGUGAGAUGUUGGGUUAAGUCCCGCAACGAGCGCAACCCUUGAUCUUAGUUGCCAGCAUUUAGUUGGGCACUCUAAGGUGACUGCCGGUGACAAACCGGAGGAAGGUGGGGAUGACGUCAAAUCAUCAUGCCCCUUAUGACCUGGGCUACACACGUGCUACAAUGGAUGGUACAAAGGGCUGCAAGACCGCGAGGUCAAGCCAAUCCCAUAAAACCAUUCUCAGUUCGGAUUGGAGGCUGCAACUCGCCUACAUGAAGCUGGAAUCGCUAGUAAUCGCGGAUCAACAUGCCGCGGUGAAUACCUUCCCGGGCCUUGUACACACCGCCCGUCCCACCACGAAAGUUUGUAACACCCGAAAUCCGUGGAGUAACCGUAAGGAGCUAGCCCCCCUAAAGUGGGACAAAUGAUUGG